rnacentral:misc_RNA from 1 species
GUUUUUGAAUACACUGACAAUGAUAACCAGCAAUGCCUUGAGCAUGCUUGUAGCGUACGACGUGUACGGGAACAAGACCUCCUCGUGGACCCUACCAAAGACAGAGCGGGACGGGUUUUGGGAAGCUUCCGGGUCGGGAGGAAACAUGGGUUUCAGUGGCGGGUUCCCCUCCAAUUUAACGGCGGAUGUGACUGUUACCAAGGAUGGGAAUGCCGGGAGCUAUAAAACGGUGCAGGAGGCUGUAAAUGCGGCGUCGGAUAAUCAAGCCAGCCAAAAGUUUGUGGUGUACAUAAAGGCUGGGGUUUACAACGAGAUCGUUAGGAUCCCGUUACAGAAGAAGAAUGUCGUGCUCUUAGGAGAUGGGAUGGGUAAAACCGUAAUUACAGGGUCGUUGACUGUGAACGGUUCCGGUAUUUCCACUUACAACACG